rnacentral:rRNA from 1 species
AACGAACGCUGGCGGCAUGCCUAACACAUGCAAGUCGAACGAGACCUUCGGGUCUAGUGGCGCACGGGUGCGUAACGCGUGGGAACCUGCCUUUAGGUUCGGAAUAACUCAGAGAAAUUUGAGCUAAUACCGGAUGAUGUCUUCGGACCAAAGAUUUAUCGCCUUUAGAUGGGCCCGCGUUGGAUUAGCUAGUUGGUGGGGUAAAGGCCUACCAAGGCGACGAUCCAUAGCUGGUCUGAGAGGAUGAUCAGCCACACUGGGACUGAGACACGGCCCAGACUCCUACGGGAGGCAGCAGUGGGGAAUAUUGGACAAUGGCCGAAAGCCUGAUCCAGCAAUGCCGCGUGAGUGAUGAAGGCCUUAGGGUUGUAAAGCUCUUUUACCCGAGAUGAUAAUGACAGUAUCGGGAGAAUAAGCUCCGGCUAACUCCGUG